AGUGAACGCUGGCGGUAUGCCUAACACAUGCAAGUCGAACGGCAGCACAUUAAUUGCUUGCUCUUAUGGGGGUCGAGUGGCGGCCGAGUGGUGAAUACAUCGUGAUCUACUUUUUCGUGGGUUAUAACGUAGGCAGACUUACUCUAAUACCUCAUACGACGUACUGGUGAAUGCAGGGGAUCUUCGGACCUUGCGCGCUUGUAUUAGCCGAUGUCGGAUGAGCUAGUUGGCGGGGUAAAGGCACAACAGGGCGACGAUGCGGCGGGGGUCUGCGAGGGUGAUCAGACACACUGGAACUGAGACACGGUCCAGACUCCUACGGGAGGGAGCAGUAGGGAAUAUGAGACAAUGGGCGCAAGCCUGAUCCAGACACACCGCGUGGGUGAAGAAGGUCUUCGGGUUGUAAAGCCCUUUUGUUGGGAAAGAAAAGCAGCAGGUUAAUACCGAGCUGUUGUGACGGUACCCAAAGAAUAAGCACCGGCUAACUUCGUG
rnacentral:rRNA from 1 species